rnacentral:rRNA from 1 species
GAUGAACGCUGGCGGCGUGCCUAACACAUGCAAGUCGAACGGGAGGGCGGACGGGUGAGUAACACGUGGGCAUCCUGGCUCAUAGAGGGGGAUAACAGAGAGAAAUUUCUGCUAAUACCGCAUACUAUGAGCUGGACCCGCGUCUGAUUAGCCAGUUGGCAGGGUAAGAGCCUACCAAAGCGACGAUCAGUAGCCGAUGUGAGAGGAUGAGCGGAGACAUUGGGACGGAGAAACGGCAGAAAAUCCUACGGGAGGGAGCAGUGGGGGAUAGUGCACAAUGGGGGGAACCCAGAUGCAGCGACGCCGGGUGAGUGAAGAAGUAAGACGGUAUGUAAAGCUCUAGCAGCAGGGAAGCAGUACCUGAAUAAGAAGCCCCGGCUAACUACGUGCCAGCAGCCGCGGUAAUUC